rnacentral:rRNA from 1 species
GAACAGGAAAUAGCCCAGCACUGAAUCCCGUCGUUGUAACGGCGGCGGGAGAUGUGGUGUUCGGGAGGUUCCGCUUUCUUGUCGUCGUCCACUCCUGUCCAAGUUCGUCUUGAACGGGGCCCAUUUCCCAUAGAGGGUGCCAGGCCCGUAGCGACGGAGGACGGCGGCGAGAGGGACUCUCCUCAGAGUCGGGUUGCUUGAGAGUGCAGCCCUAAGUGGGUGGUAAACUCCAUCUAAGGCUAAAUAUUACCGCGAGAC